UCUUAUUUACAAUGUCAGCUGAAAGUGAGAACAGGCAGGACAGCGUUAUCUCCUGUAUAUGUAAAUACAUUUGUCUGUCUUAGCGAUUGACUGAACAAGAAGUAGGACUGAGUGGACUUGUAAGCUAUGAUGUUUUACAUUGUUUUGUUUUUGAGUGCAGUAUGUAA